AGAUAUUUCACACUUUCUUGUAGCCAUACCAAUUCAUACCUGCAUUGGUACUGCGUAAGCCUGCAUGUGGUCAGCUGACACCUUCAGCCAAUCACAGGCACCCAUUGCUGCACAGGCUAAUGCUUCUUCUGCAUCAAAGAGGUAUGGGUUGCUAGGGACUGAUAUUCAGCAUUAAAAUUUCUAAAACAGUUUAAUACCUAAUGGAAGGACAGUGCCAUGGGACUCCAGACACUAUAACCACUUCAAUGAGAAGAAGUUGUUAUGGUGCCUAAAGUGUGCCUUUCCUUAGCACAUUUCCAGAUGUUUGAAAAGUAUAACUAUGACGAACAUUCAAGUCAAAUGCUCACCACGUGAUUGUCAAAGGUUUAUGGCAAUUACAGUGCCUUAAUGACUGGAGUUCUAAUAUUCAGUGCCACCAACAAGAGAUGACAAAAGCAAGUUAUAAGGGUAGAUGUUUAUUUUUAUUUCAAACAGUGGUGCAGUGUACUAUUU